UUGUAACUUGUUCCUGAAGUGACUACAGGACUCUGGGAGUACGGGUGAAAGAGUUCAGAGUGCAGGUGGUAUUCUCUUCAGUCCUUCCAGUCAAGGGUAGGGGCCCAGGCAGAGACAGAUGCAUCCUGGAGGUGAAUGCCUGGCUACGAAGAUGGAGUCACCAGGAGGGCUACGGCUUCCUUGACCCCAGGAUGCUGUUCCA